AUUGAACGCUGGCGCGUGCCUAACACAUGCAAGUCGAGCGGUAACAGGCGUAGCAAUACGUGCUGACGAGCGGCGAACGGGUGAGUAAUGCUUGGAAUCUUCCAGUAGUGGGGAAUAACCAGUCGAAAGAUUGGCUAAUACCGCAUACGUCCGAGAGGGAAAGCGGGGACCGUAAGGCCUCGCGCUAUUGGAUGAGCCAAAGUCGGAUUAGCUUGUUGGUGAGGUAAUGGCUCACCAAGGCGACAAUCCGUAGCUGGUCUGAGAGGACGACCAGCCACACCGGAACUGAGACACGGUCCGGACUCCUACGGGAGGCAGCAGUGGGGAAUAUUGGACAAUGGGGGAAACCCUGAUACCAGCGACGCCGCGUGUGUGAAGAAGGCCUGCGGGUUGUAAAGCACUUUUAGUGGGACAAAAAGCCAGGGGCUAACACCAUCUGGUCUUGAUUUAACCCACAGAAAAAGCACCGGCUAACUCUGUG
rnacentral:rRNA from 1 species